UACAGAGGGGGCAAGCGUUGUUCGGAAUCACUGGGCGUAAAGCGCGUGCAGGCGGCUUGGUAAGUCGGGUGUGAAAUCCCGGAGCUCAACUCCGGAACUGCACCCGAUACUGCCUCGCUAGAGUCCCGGAGAGGAUGGCGGAAUUUCCGGUGUAGAGGUGAAAUUCGUAGAUAUCGGAAGGAACACCAGCGGCGAAGGCGGCCAUCUGGACGGUGACUGACGCUCAGACGCGAAAGCGUGGGGAGCAAACAGG
rnacentral:rRNA from 1 species